rnacentral:rRNA from 1 species
CGGCAUAACCCCGGGAAACUGGGGAUAAUUCCGGAUAACGCACAUAUGCUGGAAUGCUUUAUGCGUAAAAUGGAUUCGUCUGCCCAAGGAUGGGUCUGCGGCCUAUCAGGUAGUAGUGGGUGUAAUGUACCUACUAGCCAACAACGGGUACGGGUUGUGAGAGCAAGAGCCCGGAGAUGGAUUCUGAGACAUGAAUCCAGGCCCUACGGGGCGCAGCAGGCGCGAAAACUUUACAAUGCGGGAAACCGUGAUAAGGGGACACCGAGUGCCAGCAUCAUAUGCUGGCUGUCCAGGUGUGUAAAAUACACCUGUCAGCAAGGGCCGGGCAAGACCGGUGCCAGCCGCCGCGGUAACACCGGCGGCCCGAGUGGUGAUCGUGAUUAUUGGGUCUAAAGGGUCCGUAGCCGGUUUGGUCAGUCCUCCGGGAAAUCUGACGGCUCAACCGUUAGGCUUUCGGGGGAUACUGCCAGGCUUGGAACCGGGAGAGGUGAGGGGUACUUCAGGGGUAGGAGUGAAAUCCUGUAAUCCUUGGGGGACCACCUGUGGCGUAGGCGCCUCACCAGAACGGCUCCGACAGUGAGGGACGAAAGCUGGGGGAGCAAACCGGAUUAGAUACCCGGGUAGUCCCAGCCGUAAACGAUGCGCGUUAGGUGUAUCGAUGACCACGAGUCAUCGAGGUGCCGAAGGGAAACCGUGAAACGCGCCGCCUGGGAGGUACGGUCGCAAGGCUGAAACUUAA